AGUUUGAAAGUUGGAGCUCAAAAAGACUACAAGACUGACCCAGAGCUGCUACUUUUCUCCUGAACAGGUGGGUGGGGCUUAGAAGAAGGUGUUCCCCUUGAAUCUUCACUGGUCACCUGAUUUUGGUCUGAGAGUUUCCUGAAGGCUGUCUGAGACCUGCCACGCCCACCCCGUCACCUUUAAAUGUUCUAUUAAACAUGGCGGAGCAAACGGAUUCAAGUGCACAACAGGUACUUGCUGUGGCAAUGUAGUGUUUGUGUUUUACUAGCACAGUUUAUCAGAAAGUAGUACCACUGAAACAUUAUGUAGAUGUUUUUUUCUGGCCUGAACGUACAUUAAGAACAUUACGAGGACAAAUAGUAAGAAGCCUCACUGAAGCCUUUGAAGCUUCUUUCUGAUUGAGCUGAAAAAAGAUUUGAGGCAUUGAAACCUCAGAGAAGAGUGACAUCUGGUGGUUGAAAUUGAACUAUUACAGCCUACACUUUACCACGAAGCAAAUGAACCCUGUGAUAUUUACUGGUCACACAAUAUCUGUUCUGAUCAGCUGAUAAUCAUCUUUAAUUGUUAAAGUGAAGCAAAAAAGUGCUUGGUUAAUGGGCUAAACUCACCUGUGAAACGGGCUAAAUGUCUUGCUUAUCUUUAUUGUAAAAAGGCAGAUAUUAUACUCCUACAAGAAUCACACUUAAAGCCUUUUGAUGUCACCCGGUGCCAGAAUAAAUAUUUUAAACUUAUAGUUUAGUCUUCCUCUGCUAACAGGACUAAAGGAGUUGUUAUACUUCAAAACAGAAAAUUUCCAUACAUUACAGAAAAAGGUUGAAAACGACGAACGUGGGUGUUUUGUAUGUGUACUUGGGUCUUGGAAUAAAGUAAAGUUAGCCUUUAUUCCGUCUAUGCCCCUAACAAAUGUGACCAGCAUUUUUUCCCCUCACUUACGAAAUCUUUUGUGGAUUUUAUGGAUUUUCAGCUAUGUGUUGGUAUUGAUGCAAAUGCAGUAGCUAACUCUGUAUUUGAUAGAUCUUGCCCCUCUAUAUAUUCUUAUACACGAGAGUCCUCACAGCUGCUCAAUGAUUUUAUCUCAGAUAAUGAUCUGAUAAUCAUAAUGAUUCACGCCACAAGGUAUUUUUUUUAGGAUAGAUUACAUUUUAUUUUUUUUAAGAUUUUAAUUCAGAGUGUAGAGAGUACCAAUAUUUUUCCAAUACUUAUCACUCCUGUGAGCUGUAAUUUCUCUCCAUUAUUUCGCCCUCAUCAAACAAAAAGGUGGCGCGUGAAUUAAUGAAUUAAUUUAAAAACCUAAUUAAUAUGUUUUUUUUUUUAUAUGAAUAGAAGAAAUAUUGUGCCAGUGUAUAGAGACCCUGACAUUUGAACGAGAACCUCCUCCACAAGAAGUGUAUUGUGGCUGUGUAUUUUUUCAAACCACAAACAUGUGUAAUAAACUGAGACCAGAUGAA